UACAGAGGGUGCGAGCGUUAAUCGGAAUUACUGGGCGUAAAGCGCACGUAGUCGGCUUUGCAAGUCGGGUGUGAAAUCCCCGGGCUCAACCUGGGCACUGCAGUUAGAAAUGGCAAGCUAGAGUAGGGUAGAGGGGUGUGGAAUUCCAGGUGUAGCGGUGAAAUGCGUAGAUAUCUGGAGGAACAUCAGUGGCGAAGGCGACACCCUGGACUCAUACUGACACUGAGGUGCGAAAGCGUGGGGAGCAAACAGG
rnacentral:rRNA from 1 species